ACUGAGGACUACUUAUUUUUGCAGUAGUUCUCACGCCCAUUUAUUACCCCUCUUUUGCAGAGCCUUUGGUUGCGGCUGCUGCUACUGCUGAUUCUGAUUGCGGAAGGAGUGUUGCGAGUUAGAGCCCUUCCUGUCGAGUUGCUGAGCUAGAGGAGUACUAGCUGGAGGUAGCUGUAGUUUUUGGUUUAUUAUACAUAUUGAUAUUGUAUCUCGCUGGAGCGAGUAAUUUUUGUAUACCAGGAUGCUAUGUAUAGUGAACUUCUAAUGUUUAGCUAUGUUUUAUUUUCUACAGCUCUAUACUACUGGUUGUAGUGUUGUAUGAUUACAGAUACAGGUACAGCUUCGCUUCGUAUACAGGAAAAAUUCCUAUGUAUACGUCUGUCAGUGUG
rnacentral:lncRNA from 1 species